rnacentral:rRNA from 1 species
GACGAACGCUGGCGGCGUGCUUAACACAUGCAAGUCGAACGAUGAACCCGGAGCUUGCUCUGGGGGAUUAGUGGCGAACGGGUGAGUAACACGUGAGUAACCUGCCCUGGACUCUGGGAUAAGCGUUGGAAACGACGUCUAAUACCGGAUAGGACCUUGGAUCGCAUGAUCUGGGGUGGAAAGUUUUUUCGGUCUGGGAUGGACUCGCGGCCUAUCAGCUUGUUGGUGAGGUAAUGGCUCACCAAGGCGUCGACGGGUAGCCGGCCUGAGAGGGUGACCGGCCACACUGGGACUGAGACACGGCCCAGCCUCCUACGGGAGGCAGCAGUGGGGAAUAUUGCACAAUGGGCGAAAGCCUGCUGCAGCAACGCCGCGUGCGGGAUGACGGCCUUCGGGUUGUAAACCGCUUUUAGUAGGGAAGAAGGGCUUCGGCUUGACGGUACCUGCAGAAAAAGGACCGGCUAACUACGUG